GGGAGAGAUGGGUGGCUGGGGCAUUGGAGAGGAGAGGGGAAACAGGAUCCUGGAAGAAGGUGCUUAACUUUUUACCCAGACAGAUUAUCAGCCGAUUCAAGAACACGCUGUGAUGAUCAUCCUCUGCUGACAAGGAAAAAAACCACCAUUCCCAUAGCAACUCUGGAUUGUACUGGUAG